rnacentral:rRNA from 1 species
ACGCUGGCGGUAGGUUUUAACAUGCAAGUCGAGCGGUAACAGACAUUUUGAUUCAGCUUGCUGAAUCUCGUGCUGACGAGCGGCGAACGGGUGAGUAACACGUAGGAAUCUACCCAGUAGCGGGGGAUAGCCCGAGGAAACUCGGAUUAAUACCGCAUACGCCCUACGGGGGAAAGGGGGCAUCUUUGAUGCUUUCACUAUUGGAUGAGCCUGCGUAAGAUUAGCUUGUUGGUAGGGUAAAGGCCUACCAAGGCGACGAUCUUUAGCUGGUCUGAGAGGACGAUCAGCCACAUUGGGACUGAGACACGGCCCAGACGUCUACGGACGGCAGCAGUUAAGAAUAUUGGACAAUGAGGGAAACCUUGAUCCAGCCAUACCGCGUGUGUGAAGAAGGCCUUAGGGUUGUAAAGCACUUUAAGCGAAGAAGAAGAAAAGUAAGUUAAUACCUUACUUUUUUGACGUUACUCGCAGAAUAAGUACCGGCUAACUCCGUGCCAGCAGCCGCGGUAAUACGGAGGGUACAAGCGUUAAUCGGAAUUACUGGGCGUAAAGCGCGCGUAGGCGGUUAAGUAAGUUGGAUGUGAAAGCCCUGGGCUCAACCUAGGAACUGCAUUCAAAACUAUUUAACUAGAGUGCGAGAGAGGAGAGUAGAAUUUCUGGUGUAGCGGUGAAAUGCGUAGAUAUCAGAAGGAAUACCAAUGGCGAAGGCAGCUCUCUGGAUCGUCACUGACGCUAAGGUGCGAAAGCGUGGGUAGCAAACAGGAUUAGAUACCCUGGUAGUCCACGCCGUAAACGAUGAGAACUAGCCGUUGGGGAGAAUUAACUCUUCAGUGGCGCAGCUAACGCAUUAAGUUCUCCGCCU